rnacentral:rRNA from 1 species
ACACAUGCAGUCGAGCGGUAGCACAGAGAGCUUGCUCUCGGGUGACGAGCGGCGGACGGGUGAGUAAUGUCUGGGAAACUGCCUGAUGGAGGGGGAUAACUACUGGAAACGGUAGCUAAUACCGCAUAAUGUCGCAAGACCAAAGUGGGGGACCUUCGGGCCUCAUGCCAUCAGAUGUGCCCAGAUGGGAUUAGCUAGUAGGUGGGGUAACGGCUCACCUAGGCGACGAUCCCUAGCUGGUCUGAGAGGAUGACCAGCCACACUGGAACUGAGACACGGUCCAGACUCCUACGGGAGGCAGCAGUGGGGAAUAUUGCACAAUGGGCGCAAGCCUGAUGCAGCCAUGCCGCGUGUGUGAAGAAGGCCUUCGGGUUGUAAAGCACUUUCAGCGGGGAGGAAGGCGGUGAGGUUAAUAACCUUGUCGAUUGACGUUACCCGCAGAAGAAGCACCGGCUAACUCCGUGCCAGCAGCCGCGGUAAUACGGAGGGUGCAAGCGUUAAUCGGAAUUACUGGGCGUAAAGCGCACGCAGGCGGUCUGUCAAGUCGGAUGUGAAAUCCCCGGGCUCAACCUGGGAACUGCAUUCGAAACUGGCAGGCUAGAGUCUUGUAGAGGGGGGUAGAAUUCCAGGUGUAGCGGUGAAAUGCGUAGAGAUCUGGAGGAAUACCGGUGGCGAAGGCGGCCCCCUGGACAAAGACUGACGCUCAGGUGCGAAAGCGUGGGGAGCAAACAGGAUUAGAUACCCUGGUAGUCCACGCCGUAAACGAUGUCGAUUUGGAGGUUGUGCCCUUGAGGCGUGGCUUCCGGAGCUAACGCGUUAAAUCGACCGCCUGGGGAGUACGGCCGCAAGGUUAAAACUCAAAUGAAUUGACGGGGGCCCGCACAAGCGGUGGAGCAUGUGGUUUAAUUCGAUGCAACGCGAAGAACCUUACCUGGUCUUGACAUCCACAGAACUUUCCAGAGAUGGAUUGGUGCCUUCGGGAACUGUGAGACAGGUGCUGCAUGGCUGUCGUCAGCUCGUGUUGUGAAAUGUUGGGUUAAGUCCCGCAACGAGCGCAACCCUUAUCCUUUGUUGCCAGCGGUUCGGCCGGGAACUCAAAGGAGACUGCCAGUGAUAAACUGGAGGAAGGUGGGGAUGACGUCAAGUCAUCAUGGCCCUUACGACCAGGGCUACACACGUGCUACAAUGGCAUAUACAAAGAGAAGCGACCUCGCGAGAGCAAGCGGACCUCAUAAAGUAUGUCGUAGUCCGGAUUGGAGUCUGCAACUCGACUCCAUGAAGUCGGAAUCGCUAGUAAUCGUAGAUCAGAAUGCUACGGUGAAUACGUUCCCGGGCCUUGUACACACCGCCCGUCACACCAUGGGAGUGGGUUGCAAAAGAAGUAGGUAGCUUAACCUUCGGGAGGGCGCU